rnacentral:rRNA from 1 species
GAUGAACGCUGGCGGCGUGCUUAACACAUGCAAGUCGAACGGAAAGGCCCAAGCUUGCUUGGGUACUCGAGUGGCGAACGGGUGAGUAACACGUGGGUGAUCUGCCCUGCACUUCGGGAUAAGCCUGGGAAACUGGGUCUAAUACCGGAUAGGACCACUUCUUGGAUGUUGUGGUGGAAAGUUUUUUCGGUGUGGGAUGAGCUCGCGGCCUAUCAGCUUGUUGGGGGGGUAAUGGCCUACCAAGGCGUCGACGGGUAGCCGGCCUGAGAGGGUGUACGGCCAAAUUGGGACUGAGAUACGGCCCAGACUCCUACGGGAGGCAGCAGUGGGGAAUAUUGCACAAUGGGCGCAAGCCUGAUGCAGCGACGCCGCGUGGGGGAUGACGGCCUUCGGGUUGUAAACUCCUUUCGCUAGGGACGAAGCGUUUUGUGACGGUACCUGGAGAAGAAGCACCGGCUAACUACGUG